rnacentral:rRNA from 4 species
GGGUUGUGAGGUUAAGCGACUAAGCGUACACGGUGGAUGCCCUGGCAGUCAGAGGCGAUGAAGGGCGUGCUAAUCUGCGAUAAGCGCCGGUAAGGUGAUAUGAACCGUUAUAACCGGCGAUACCCGAAUGGGGAAACCCAGUGUGACUCGUCACACUAUCAUUAACUGAAUCCAUAGGUUAAUGAGGCGAACCGGGGGAACUGAAACAUCUAAGUACCCC